CGGACUUUUGAUGAUGAGGAAAUAGUUCUUCAUUGCUGCGUGUUUCUUGUGUAUCACUCCGCCAGAAAAGUAGAGACCUGUUUAUGUGUUUCGUGUUUCCAAAACAGGUCAUCGUGGACGUUGGUCAGCGGAGGAUAGGAGACGUACGACUCGUGUCCGUCAAACAGCGGUGUGCUGACCAACUCGCCUGGAGAAGUUGUGGGAGUGGAGAUCAACGAAAGAGAGAGCGAUUGCAGAUGACUUGCCAGCGUUGGAAGGAGAAGGACCGAGUGUCUCACCGUCCAUGCACUUGUUUCCGAACUUCCCAAGGUGGCAGCGGCAGUCGUAACCCAAACCGCUCUGGCGGUUGAUGCAGGUGGCGUCUGGACCACACGCCUCUGUGAGGUCACAGGUCACAAAGGAGGUCAGAUACACAAUUUGUUAGUAUAGUUGGAAAGCAGACCGUGAAAUAAAUGUGCGGUAUUUAUUGAUACAUAAAUUGGUGGCGGUGUGAUUGGGGGAGGGACAUGCUUUAUCAGUAUGGUGUCUAUUCAUCAGUAUCAUGCUUUGAAAAGCUGUGUGCUACAUUUCUGUUACAGACUAAAAAUAUGCUAAUAAAGUUAAUCUAUUUAGUAAGUUGAUGUAUAUAUUUGGGGUAUGAUACUUUGGGCCCUGAACGAUUCGAUCCGAUUCCGAUUCCUGGGG